rnacentral:lncRNA from 1 species
GAAAGUAAAAUUAAAACGGGCACCUGCAAAAUGACCGUAUAUUUUGUUUUAGCCUUUCCAAGUUUGACCAGUGGCUACAGUAUGCGUCUUGAUGUUUAUGUGCACCGUUAAAGACUGAAUGUUCCAAGUUUUCCUGCCUGGUUUAACAUUCUGUACGAGGAGGAUGAAGAUAUUUACACGGCAAAACUGGGCGAGGAAUAUGAGGCGGGUAAUGUUAUAAUUAAAGUUUAAGAAAUGGUGGUAUGUAUUUGUGACAGAACUGAAAUAAGCCUUUAAUAAGGAAGUGAUAAUGCAAGUAGAAUGGGAUUUUCUUUACAUGUAUAUUUUAUAACACUGAAGUUGCUACUAUAAUGCUAUGAAGUCAGUUUUAUACUAUUUGUGUGAGUAAAUCACUGUACAUGAAUUUUUCAGGUUAAACAGCCUUUAUUUUGUACAUUACAAUUUUGUACAUCAUUUUCACUUGAAAAUGCCAUUUUCUUAUACUACAUGGCAGAAAAUCUGGAUUCUUUGUAAAUUUCCAAGAGCAAUAACUCUUGUUUAUCUUGACCAAUGUCCAAAUUUAUUGCAUUUCUGAAUUUGUCUUAUUGC